CUACUCUCCAGUCCCAGCCCAGGGGACAAUGUCCAGCUGUCUGUUGGUACCUCAGUUUAAAAGAAAAGUCAAGGCUACAUCCAGAAAAGUACCUCUCCCAGGCCUCUUUUUUAUGAGCAUUUAACCAACUCCAGCACCAGAGAGUCUGUAUGGGCCUCCCGGAACGUUCAUGGAGGGACCUGAUACUCCUGCUCUUGCCUGCUUUCCAGCUCUCUGCUGAGCAAAUUCUGAUUUGGAGAGUUGAUUUGCAUGGAUUUUUGUGCAAUCCUAUUUACAAACCAACUGAAAAAAAAAAUCAGGCAAUCCAAUUCCAGAGUACAUCGUGUAGCCUGGAGCUUGCCAGGGAAGGCAGCUGUGGUGAACUCGUGAUGGCCCCAAAGCAUCGUCCUCACCGCUGUGGCUGGCUCAGCCUCCUGAAGUGUCCGUGUUGGAGAAACCUGAGCUUCAGGUAACCUGUUGUUACCAGGUGCAAGACGACGUGUUCCCAGGACUCAGGAGGGACAUAGUUAUGCAUCAGCUGUGAU